UCCUCCUCCUCCCCCCCCGCCCCUUUCCCUCGCUGGGCUAAGGAAGCCGCCUUUCCACCUGCUGCCGGUGACGCUUGAUCGUCUGGACGCGGAGAGAAGAGGCGAAGCGAGCGAGAAAGGAGGGCGGCGGCGACGACCCUGCUCUCCUCACACUUCUAGCAGAGGCGGAAGCGGGAAAGGGGGCUGCGAAAUGGUAGGACUCUGGACCCACUAAGGAGGACGAGGGAAUCGCGAGUCGGAAAAGUGUUACAAGGACCCGGCGAAGCGGGAGGGUCCGGCUGACUGACCCAACGGAGGUGAAUGUCCUGAAGGCAGUAUGAGCCAGAAAGGAUCAACAAGCAGCCACCCUGGCUCUGCAAAUGGUAGCCUGGGUAAAGCAGAUGGUGCUGGCAAAAUGAGUGCAAAAGAUCUAUAUG